AUGAUGAUCACGUGAGAAAACAAGUGGUCUUUUUUCAAGCGUUGACGGGACGUUUGUGAGAAAAAAAAAACCGUCAAUCGCUCGGUCAUACCAUCAGGUUGUUAAACUUUUCGAAACAAACAACAAAAAUAACAAGGGG
ensembl:ncRNA K03C7.11 ncRNA